CACAUGCAAGUCGAAGGAGAAGGAUGGUGCUUGCACCAUCUGGAGACUGGCGCACGGGUGAGUAACGCGUAGACAACCUGCCUAUAACUGGGGGAUAACAUCGGGAAACCGGUGCUAAUACCGCAUAUUGUCACUGCCUCGCAUGAGGCGGUGAUGAAAAACUUCGGUUGGUUAUAGAUGGGUCUGCGUGCCAUUAGUUAGUUGGUGGGGUAAAAGCCUACCAAGGCGAUGAUGGCUAGGGGGUCUGAGAGGAUGAUCCCCCACACUGGAACUGAGACACGGUCCAGACUCCUACGGGAGGCAGCAGUGAGGAAUCUUGCGCAAUGGAGGAAACUCUGACGCAGCCACGCCGCGUGCCGGAAGACGGCCCUAUGGGUUGUAAACGGCUUUUGAUUGGGAAGAACUGUUCCGUUUCGACGGGACUUGACGGUACCAUUUGAAUAAGCACCGGCUAACUCCGUGCCAGCAGCCGCGGUAAUACGGAGGGUGCAAGCGUUGUCCGGAAUCAUUGGGUGUAAAGGGUGCGCAGGCUGGCGCCUAAGUCGGAGGUGAAAUCUUGCCGCUUAACGGUAAAAUGGCCUCCGAUACUGGGUGUCUUGAAUCUGACAGAGGCCGGUGGAAUUCGUGGUGUAGCGGUGAAAUGCAUAGAUAUCACGAA
rnacentral:rRNA from 1 species